rnacentral:rRNA from 1 species
UACGUAGGUGGCAAGCGUUGUCCGGAAUUACUGGGCGUAAAGCGCGUGUAGGCGGGUUGCCAAGUCCGCUGUGAAAGCCCGAGGCUCAACCUCGGAGGGUCGGUGGAUACUGGCAGUCUUGAAGGUGCUAGGGGGAGAUGGAAUUACCGGUGUAGCGGUGAAAUGCGCAGAUAUCAGGAGGAACACCAAUUGCGAAGGCAGCUCGCUGGGACGUUACUGACGCUGAGACGCGAAAGCGUGGGGAGCAAACAGG